UGAGGAAUAUUGCGCAAUGGACGAAAGUCUGACGCAGCAACGCCGCGUGCGGGAUGAAGGCCCUUUGGGUCGUAAACCGCUGUAGCAGGGGAAAAAUAUCCGCCUCGGGCGGAUUGAUGGUACCCUGAAAGUAAGCCUCGGCUAACUACGUGCCAGCAGCCGCGGUAAUACGUAGGAGGCAAGCGUUGUCCGGAUUUACUGGGUGUAAAGGGUCCGCAGGCGGGCAUCUAAGUCGGUGGUGAAAUCCUUCAGCUUAACUGAAGAGCUGCCUCCGAUACUGGAUGUCUUGAAUACGGUAGAGGGUGACGGAAUUCCAGGUGUAGCGGUGAAAUGCUUAGAUAUCUGGAAGAACACCAGUUGCGAAGGCUGUUGCCUGGACCGUUAUUGACGCUCAUGGACGAAAGCGUGGGGAUCAAACAGG
rnacentral:rRNA from 1 species